rnacentral:lncRNA from 1 species
UACAGACUGCCUUCAUUGAACUUGUUCCCGUGGCAACGGAUGACACCCCUCUUCCCUCACUACAAGAGACUGACAUUGAUAAUGGGACCUGUCCCAGCAGCACUGAUCAACAGACUGCCUUCAUUGAACUUGUUCCCGUGGCAACAGAUGACACCCCUCUUCCCUCACUACAAGAGACUGACAUUGAUAAUGGGACCUGUCCCAGCAGCACUGAUCAACAGACUGCCUUCAUUGAACUUGUUCCCGUGGCAACGGAUGACACCCCUCUUCCCUCACUACAAGAGACUGACAUUGAUAAUGGGACCUGUCCCAGCAGCACUGAUCAACAGGUACAGUCAUGUGUGUUUCUUACAUCUAAUCCUGCAGUGUAUUUGUGGUCAUGGGUUACAUUUGUAUCAUUUUAAAGAAG